rnacentral:rRNA from 1 species
ACCAGGGUUUGACAUGCUUAAAGUAGGAACUCGAAAGAGGGACGGACCUCGUAUCCAGUCAGGAGUUUGCACAGGUGCUGCAUGGCUGUCGUCAGCUCGUGCCGUGAGGUGUUAGGUUAAGUCCUGCAACGAGCGCAACCCUCGUCGCUAGUUGUUUUCUCUAGCGAUACUGCCCGUAUAACGUGGAGGAAGGUGGGGAUGACGUCAAGUCAGCAUGGCCCUUACAUCCUGGGCUACACACACGCUACAAUGGGUGAUACAACAGGUUGCAAUAGAGUAAUCUGGAGCCAAUCCCUAAAAUCAUCCUCAGUACGGAUUGCAGGCUGCAACUGCCUGCAUGAAGUUGGAGUUGCUAGUAAACGCAGGUCAGCACACUGCGUUGAAUACGUUCUCGGGCCUU